AUUGAACGCUGGCGGCAUGCUUUACACAUGCAAGUCGAACGGCAGCGCGGGCUUCGGCCUGGCGGCGAGUGGCGAACGGGUGAGUAAUACAUCGGAACGUGCCCAGUAGUGGGGGAUAGCUCGGCGAAAGCCGGAUUAAUACCGCAUACGACCUGAGGGUGAAAGCGGGGGAUCUUCGGACCUCGCGCUAUUGGAGCGGCCGAUGGCAGAUUAGCUAGUUGGUGGGGUAAAGGCCUACCAAGGCGACGAUCUGUAGCUGGUCUGAGAGGACGACCAGCCACACUGGGACUGAGACACGGCCCAGACUCCUACAGGAGGCAGCAGUGGGGAAUGUUGGACAAUGGGCGAAAGCCUGAUCCAGCAAUGCCGCGUGUGUGAUGAAGGCCUUCGGGUUGUAAAGCACUUUUGGCGGGAACGAAAAGGACUGUGCCAAUACCACGGUUCGAUGACGGUACCCGCAGAAUAAGCACCGGCUAACUACGUG
rnacentral:rRNA from 1 species